AUGUCCGACCCAUACCGAAAUGGCGAAGCAGCUGCUACUCCUGAUCGGAUGAGCCUGACCACAGCUGCAACCAAAGACAUCUUCUUCGACGUGGAGGGUUACACCGCCGCCAUACUCAUGUCCACCGGCGACAAUUGCUACUACCCGUCGGAAAGGUUCACCGUCGGCGGGUACGACUGGGCCGUCCGCUUCUACCCCAACCAACUGGGCUCCCACAUAUCCAUCCUCCUCGUGCUCCUCAGCGAGCCCAAGGAUGGCACCGUGGUCGGCGUAAGGUUCGGAUGCGCGGUGCUCGACAGGUCCGGCAGUCCUUCGGCGGAGCUUUGGCAGAGCUCCUCGACCGUCCUCUCUUUCUACGGCGAAGAGUGGGGGUUUUGGAGAUUCGCGCCGCGCGAUGUUCUGGAGGACCCGGAUUACCUUGAAGGGGACUGCCUCACCCUGAGCUGCACUGUCUCUGUUCUAAGGAAACCGCAACUGUCGUCCGACUGA
rnacentral:rRNA from 1 species